ensembl:lncRNA
AUGAGCUGGGAGCUCUUUCAGGGGUGGAGACUUGGGUUUCAUUUUUACUCCUGUAUCCUCGGCGCCUAGUGCUCUGCUGGGCAGAGCAGAAGCUCAACACGUGUGAUGCGUGAUCAAUGGCAGAACCCCAGGGGCCCUCUCUCUGAGAAGACAUGUGCCCUCCCUCUUUCCUUGCUGAAGUGGUGGGCAAGAAAAUGGACACAGACGGAGCUCACACUUGCUCUUCUCAAACACAUGUUUUCCCUCAUAUACUCGUCUUCUACCUUCAUGGUCAAAAUGUGAAGUCUAACUGGUUUUCACCUGUCCUCAUGUCUUGUGGGACAUUUCCAAAAGAGGGAACAGCCUGUGAUGAGAUACACAGCCUGGACCUGCUUCAACUUUCUUGUCUUUGCACACACUUCUUUUGAAAUGAAAACUAAUAACUUUCUAUUUCAAAUAAAACAAAGAAAGCAAGCA